rnacentral:lncRNA from 1 species
UUCAAAUUAACUCCAAAUUUGAUGAUUCUAAUUUCUAUAGGUUCAUAAAUUCCUGAUCUAUCACAUGGUGCAAUUUGCACAUUUUUCCAUAAAGUUUUUCUUCACAAACAUUUAUCAAAUCCCAUAUUUCCACUUCUGUCAUAAACUUUAGGAAAUCACAGAAGGCUCAAAAUUGAUCCAAAUUCCAUGAUUCAAAUUCCUAGGUAUUCCUAAGUUCAUAACUUAGUUUAUGAACAUUUUUAUUAAUACUUUCUGUACCACAUAAAUUAUUGAGCCAUUUCUUCAUAUUUAUCAACUUUGCAAAUUCAUAGGAAAUUCAUUUGAACUGCAAAUCUAGUGAAACCAAUUCCUAGAUGCUUCUAAAAUCAUCCUUUGUUAAAUGGGUGCCUUUGCUCAUUUUUCAAAAAUAUAUUUCUGUACACUUCUUGCAAACCCAUUAAUCCCUUGAUUCCAUCAUAUUGAAAUGUUCAGAGAUGUCCAUUGAUCAAAUCCUAAUGAAACCACUUUGGUCAUCCCUCAUAUGACCAGAGGUAUCCCAGAAAAGUCCAACUCAUAUUUUUAGAGCACUUUUAUUUCCUGCCUUGUUGUGUUGCUUAUUGUGUUUGUUUCUGACGUUAGUUGACGAAGUAGACGGAGUACUUGGAGAAGGACCAGAAGACUUGAAGACCCUGAGGAACAGGCAAGCAGCCCGUUGACCAUGUCUAUGAAACCUUUUUAUGCAUGUCAUAUAGUACCUUAUCGUUGUUGCAUCGGAAUCAUGAUGAGGUGGUACCCACGUUGAUGGUUUGCCACCGUUAAUUCCUCGUUGAUACUUGCAUUGUGCAUGACCCUACCUUCUUAUGAGGGUUAUGCCGGUGGGAGUAGAUAGGAUGCUAAGGUAGUGCUACGCAAAAAGGGACGGGUAUAUGCAUGGUGAAGGAGGCAAAGUAUUUUCAAAAGACUUCUUCGAAAACCCCGUCGGGUGCCACUUAUGCCCGAGGGAGAUGAUGAAAUGGGUAACCAUUUGAUGACGAAGUGGUGUACCGAGGCAAGUGUGUGUGUUGUUUUCGAAAACGGAUUAGAUUUAAGAUUUGUCGACUGUCCCAACCUUACAUGCGCAACCACUCUACCCUUAUAUGGGAAAGGGCAUUAUUGAUUACCUAGGCCGAUACUAGCUUGGAGCCCGCAUUACUAGUGACGGGGGAGAGUUGGUGCUCUCUCUCGGGACGGGGUCGUGCCAGGUAGGGCGGCCAUGACUGUCUUUACAGCACCGGACACACCGUUGGUACCCCGUGCUUGUGGUAUGUGAUGAAUAUGGGAGCGAGGCUCCACAACUUUAUGAUGUGAAAUGUUGGGCACGGGGGUUACUACCAAUCGAGUGGACUCCAUGUUAGUGUCGUCUAGGGAAAGGUAGUGAUUGGGUGCUUACCCCGGGUACUUGAGGUAUCGCGGGUCGUGGAUGACACGGAAGUUCCCCGGAUCUUGUGGGUACAGUGUGCAACCUCUACAGAGUGUAAAACUAUUCGAAUAGCCGUGUCCAUGGUCAAGGACGGUUGGGCGGUGCUGCUUAAACUACGUCCAGAGUUUUCAACCGUGUGUGUGUGUGUGUUGAUAAAACUACUUGGGUCAAGUCAAAGGACUUGACAUAAUUGAGUUGGGUUGGUGCCCACUCUAUUUAUGUUGAUAUCUGUAACCUGUCCUCAUGGUUACUUGAAUUCUCUUGAUGCAUGCCUUACAAAGUUGUUGAACAUGUCAUUGCACUCAAAACUAGCUUUCUGCAAAAAUUUACCUAUAUCAUGCAUUGUUGUAUCUUGAACCAAAAACAUGGGUUGCUUGCGAGUACAUUCAAAGUACUCAUUGGCUUGCCGCUGGUUAUUUUAUUGGCCAGGCAUGAAAGAACAGGAUGUGAUGAAGAACACUUUGGUGACGAACAUGCGAGCUAGGACGCUUCCCAGUCAGAUGCCUGUAGGGUUAAGGCAGAUCGCAUGGGUCCAAGUUGUUGUUGAAGAUUUCCGCUGUGAUGAUACACUCCAGACUUGACCAUAAUGGUCCUACUUGUGUAAAACGGUAUGUAUGGAUGUAAGACUCUUGUUAUUCAGCUUCUGUGUGUUCAGUGAGCAUUGAUCUCUGGGAUCACUGUACACGUGCAUUCGGUGAUCUCGACUUAUGAGUCGGGGUCCCCACAGAGCUGGUAUCAGAGCCAUCCUGACUGUAGGAAGCCUUAGUUAGCAUGGACGUUAGUUAGCUUGAGACCAUCUAAACUUCUCUUCUUUUCUGAAGCAUACCCCACCCAGGAUAUAUUUUCCCUUAUUGACCUCCCCUAUUCAACUGUUGUAGAUGGCUGUCGCCCCCUUGAGACUCCUUAUGACGGGAUUUCCGUCACUCUUAAAAGACUGCCUCCAACAAUGCCACUAUCCCUUGCUGCCCAUAUACACCCUGCAUGAACUGGAAAAUGAUGUGCUCGAGAAGGAUUUCUACGCCAAGGUUUUUGUGCCUGCCAAGACCUCACCCCAGGGGUGGUUCUUCAUUGGACCACCCAUGCCAACAAAGGAUCUGGCCAUUCAGCAAGUGGCAUAUGAAGCGCUCCUCCGUCUUCGAGGCCUCCUUCCAGAAAUGAAAGAAGAACACGCCACCCGCUACCUACCAGGAAAAAACGGAUUUGGAGCCCCAGCUCAAGUGAUGAUUUCCCCAGAAGAUGAGGAUCCAACCCUCAAGUACCAAAUCCGCUUCAUCAACGCCGGAGACUACCUUCUACGUCACCUUACCGAAGCAUUCCUUAAGGCUCGCCAAGACCUCCCUUCACUUCUGCACCUCCACUGCAUCAAGAAGAUGAAGGUGGCUGAGCAAGGACAACAAAUCACUAUCUUACAAGCCCACCUUGUCAAUCAGGAGCAACAAAUCAAGGAACUUCAGAGAACCCGCAACCAAAACCCACGCAAGAAGCAUAGGAAUGGAUUUCCAUAUCCACCUCAUAGAAGAUCGUCGUCAGGCCAUCGACGACAUAACUCAAGACUGGAUAGCAACCUUUUUGCUUCCGUCACUUGUCACGGGUGUGGUGAACUUGGGCACAUUAAACGGAUGUGUCCCAACAAGUAGACGACUGUCGCCUACCCUUUGGCACCACAAGGGGAACCCAGAAACUGAAGACCGAACGCCUUUCUCUCAAGUGAUGAAGCAAGCACGACUACUGAAUCCGAGGACCCCUAGGGUAGGACGAGUCGUGUACCCCCUAUGCGCAGUCGAGUCCAUAUGAUGGUUCAAAUGAAACCAUGUUGAGUGUUGCUUGUUCCUAUCUGUUUGCGUUUUGAUAUAAGUUGCACUUUUGCCUUAGGCAGCAUGUAUGCAACUAUAUCACCUAUCUUAUCUUAAUGAAAUUGUGUGUGGUCUUUUGGCACUUGUUUGUUUGCACCUGCACUAUAGAACCCCCUUUAGGCAUCCCUCCUCUAUGCUACUUUUCCCUCUCAUCCCUCUCCUCAACCGAAGACCAGCAAGACAAGAUGCACCAAGGAAUCUGCUUCGGCGACCAACUAACACUGAAGACUUUUUGUUGCAGCCUCCUCGACCAAGUGAAACCCCGUAGAGUUAUGUUUAACCCACCAGACUAGAAACCCAUUCCUAGACCCUUCGAGACUUCAUGAGAUACCCCAGUCCUUAACCAUGUGCUUAACCCACAGAAUUUCAGGAGAACCAGUUAAGCCUCGGUAAACCUCGCACAACACUGGGUUCAUUAUGGAACUAGUGGACAUAGUGAACAAACACAUUAUCAUCCUAAUAUAGCACCAGAACUGACGAUGCCAUAAGGAAGACCAGUUUCAGGACAUAAUUGAGGACAAAUGACUUGGUGAGUUUAUAUCAGUGACCUUGAGGAAUUAUCUGAGACUUUGGUGAAUUAUGAGGUUUCCAUGUUGGUAGAUGAACUUGGUGGGAUCAUUAAUAUAGAGUAGCAUAGCUUUCAUUACCCCUGGGUAAAUUGGAUUUAUGGGACCAUUAUGAUCGCAAGCUGAAACUCCUGGAAGUGCAAGGAGUUGACUUGAUCAGAUGAUAUUGAUAGGAGAUAGUUGACAUUGUGAUAAUGACUUGGUGGAAACAUAUAGGAAUUCUCGUUGGACAUGAGAUUUGGAUUUAAGUAGCUGAUUCUAGUUGAAUAUAGAUGCUGAGUAAGUCUACAUGGUUCGGAGUAAAUUGGAUUUAGACUGAUGAUCUCGAUCAUGAUACCAUGUUUCCUGGAGGACAAUAAACUAGGAGAUUGGAUUAAUUGUUGGAGUUGAUUUAGAGUUCUAUAUAAGCUUGACCUUGGAGUUUACAUGACCAUGAUAAUGGAAAUUGGUGGACUGACUAUAGUAGGGUAGCCUUCCUAGUAUUUAUGGAUUAUAGGGUAUUAGAAGAUCGUGUGGAACACCAUAGAGAUUGGAUUUGAAGGACUACUGGGUCAUGUAAUGAUUGGUGUAGUUAAUGGGUUGUUGGAGUUGAUUCAUAGGAAGGAAACAAGAUUUUGGAGUGGCAUACGACGUGUUUCCUUAGGAUAGUGGUGCUUUAUCUUAGACCUUGGAAGAACAGGCUGAGCACUUGGGUUGUCACGUUCAAGCUUGGCGGCUUAUAUGUUCUACCCAUGGAUUUUUAGGGGUAGACAUACAUACGAGUUUGGGGAUCGUAGACAUAUAUGAUUUUGUUAGACCUCCUCUUGGGAGUCAUGAGGAUAUGAAUAGCAUGAGUAAUGAUUGGAGUUGACCUACGCAAAAUGAUGCUAUCAGUGAUGUGAUCUAGGACUAGAUAGACUAUUGGCAUCUCAGAAACCGUGCUUAAAGAUAAGAUGAUAAAUGUUCACUCGCACACUAGAAUCCAUGAAACCCUUAAGCCCUACCAAGCUACAACAUGGUCGGAUCAGGACCUUAGGGCCUUGACACUAGAACUAGAACCACCUUGGCCCACACUCAACAAGACCACCACUAAUUCCCCAGCCUACUUUAUGUACCCCGUGAACAAGCCUCCAUGGAGUGCUUAGACAAGAUAAUUGUCAUCAUCAUUUGGUGACCUACCUGUCCACCCAAAGACGGAAGAAGAGCCGUUCAGCUAGUCUAGGAACAUUUGAAGACCGCCAUGCCAAGGAGGAAGAACUACACCUACCACCAUCAUCAAGAAGUAAACAUCCGCGUUGAAGACCAGGUGUAUCUACGGGCCACUUCUCUCUAAGGAACCAAGCAUUCCCAUGACAAGGAGACCCACACCAAGAUUCAUCGACCCUCUUCGAGAUCACUCCAAGAUUUAACAACCCCCUCUGAGAUCACUCCAAGACGAAGAGUAGACGGCUACCAGCUAGAGUUACCACCUGAGUUACCCAUUGUGCACAAUGCUUUCCAUGCAUCACAACCCCGGAAAUGUUUCCAACUUCCUAACUUGCCCGAUCUCUACGAGGGCAUUGACCACCGAGCCAUCGACCUCCAGCCCAAUAUGACCACCGCAAGCAACCCCUUAGAAACCUGGAUCGAGAAGAACGUCAUACACGAAGCCACACCAGCAAGUACUUCAAGCUCAAUGGAGCACUACACGGAAGCAGAAGCAGUAUGAGGACGUGAAGACUACCCCGAAUCCAAGUUUCCAUACUCCUUCCCGCGCCUAGUCUAGGAAUCUCGGGGACGAGAUUCUUGUAAGGGGGGUAGAUCUGUCACACCCUAAUUUUCAUGGCACAACACUUAAGAUGAUAAAUCAUGAUAAAAUGUGGUUUGACAAAAACUUUUGAGUGUUUUGGACUUUGCUUGAUUUGAUUUUUGUCUGCUGUUUGCAAGUGCUCUAAAAAUCAAAUAAAUCCUCCAACUCCUAUAGUUCAUCUACUUGAUCCAAAACCUUUUCCCAAUGAUCAUGCCAUGUGUAUAGAGCAAUAUAAUAUUUUCUUACAAAAAUGAUUUGGCCAAAUAGUAUUUUCAAAAAUUAGUUUUUCAAAACCCCCUGAAUUGAGGUUUGCACUGCAAGUACUUAAUUAAGGGCAGUAAAAUCUUUCUAAAAAUAUAUUUAACUCCUAUUAGAUAUAGGGUACCCAGAAACCACAAAAAUAUAAUUUUAAAAGUUAUUUUCCUAUUUUAUUUAAAAGAUUUUUCUUAAGGCCAGAAAUGGUCUUUAAUAGGGAAAAAUUAUUUUAUUGCUUCAAAAAUAUUUGACAAAAUUUAGGGAAACUCAGUGGACAUAUAUUGUCCACAUAUAAGAGUUUCAACACAUGGUCAUGUUCAAAAUAUUGGUCAAAUACCUCAAAAACCCUUUCUGGAUAUUUCAAGCUUUUGAAAUAUUUACAAAGGAAAUAUUCUCCAAAAAUUCCAAGAAAAUUCUAGCAUGUCACAUAUGACAUAUUAGACGAUCUUGCCAAGUCUCAUGACUUGGAGACCAAUAUAACAUCAUCCAAUCCCCUCAAAACCAUUUCUGUCCAUUUUGGAGUUUGAGCAACUUUACAUUGCCAAACAUGUCCAAAUGCUCUCAAAUCUUGUGAACAUGCUCAAAUGGUCUAAUCAUUCAUCUAGACCAAAUGUCACAAGUUGGAGAACAAGUUAACUUGAUCAAAGUGCCCCAAAACCCUUCCUGUCCAAAACCAAAUUUGGACAACUCUACAUUGUCAAGUGUGUCCUUUUGAUCUGAAUUUUUGUGGACAUGGUCAAAUCCUCAAAUGAUGAUACUACACCAAGUGGUGCAUCAAGGAGAAUAGAUUUGCACGACUAAAUCUUGGCAAAGCCAUUUCUGCUGAUUUCUAGGGUUUACCAAAGUUGCAUUGGCUACUUUGCCCAAAUGAGCUCAAACUUGGUGGAACACCCUACUUUCAUGUGCCAUUCCAUCCUGUUAAUUCCCAUGGCAAUUGGAAUUAAUUUUCUUGCCCAAACCAACAACAAACACCUUUUGCCAUUUUUCCAAAAUCAUCAUUUUUACCACUUCCACUCUUCUCCAUGACCUCAACUUUUUACCACAGCCCCUCAGAGCCCCCUUUCACCUCCAGUAACAAUGGUUGUACCUCAGCUCAAUGAUUGAGGGGUGAAACCACCUCAUUUACCCCACUGGACAGCCCCUUUCCCUCUCUUCCUCACCUACCUCCUCCCUCCAGUGACCAACCAGGGCAUCCAAUGCCCCUCCCCAUUUGUUUACUUCCCCCUAGAGCCCCCAGACACUAGAGGCCAAGCCCAGAGCGCUGGAAAAAUGGCCAUGCCAGCCAUAUGCACGCUCUGGAGCGCGCUACAGUGCGCUCCCGCACUGUAGCCGCCCCCUGCCAAGCACCUCAGGCCACCUCGGGCCUUCCUAGCGUGCCCGACGAGACGCCUCGGCGUCCGGGACAGGGCACGCUGCCGGCCCCCUCCCGAAUCUCUCUCCUCUCCCCUCUAUGAGCUCACCCGAGCGCGUCCAUGGGCGCUGUCCACGGUGCACCGCGGCCGUGCCCAUAAAAACCCCUCCUGACCUCUUCUAUGGCCUCUCCCCGCUCCCCUCUCUCGCUUACACUUCCCUAACAACCUCCCUCUCCCUCUCGCGCCCUCUUCCCACCUCCAUGACCGGAGUGCCGCCGCCGUGCCCUCGGGCGUAGCCGAGCCAUCCUUGCUUUCCUGCUCCCACUGACCCAUCCCGAGGACUCCCACGACCCCAAGAAGCCUCUCCCGCACGCUAGGACCUCCUCCCCAUGCCUGCCUCGUCGUGCCCAUCCAAGCCGUCGCUGGUCUCCGCCAUGGCCGACGCUUCACCCAAGUCUGGCACUCCCCGCGUCCAGCGCGACCACCUCUGGGCGCGACGUGGGACGGGGCAUCCGCCCAGACCACCGGCCUGGCCCCGGGCGCAGCGGAGCGGCCGGAAUCGUCGCCGGCGCACUCGCCGUCUGCCCCAUGCCUCUGCCCAUCAGGGGGAAGAAGGAGGAGGCGGGAGAGAGAGAGAGUUGGUGCGGGACCCGCAGGUCAGCGACCCAGCAGGCGGGCCCCGCCCGUUUAAGUGGAGACGGACCGGGUGAAAAGCCGCUUCCUGCGCAGCGAAGGCGUACUCUGUCAGGGGCGCCUCCGACGUCACCCUCCUCGCCCGCGUGGCUGAGCCAGCGGGCCGGCCCACCUCUAUCCUGCGCCCUGUGCAUGCUUUGGGUAAACCCUAAACCUUUUCCCUUUUUCUUUUUUCCAGUUAACCUCAAAAAUUCAUAGACAAUUCAAAUUAACUCCAAAUUUGAUGAUUCUAAUUUCUAUAGGUUCAUAAAUUCCUGAUCUAUCACAUGGUGCAAUUUGCACAUUUUUCCAUAAAGUUUUUCUUCACAAACAUUUAUCAAAUCCCAUAUUUCCACUUCUGUCAUAAACUUUAGGAAAUCACAGAAGGCUCAAAAUUGAUCCAAAUUCCAUGAUUCAAAUUCCUAGGUAUUCCUAAGUUCAUAACUUAGUUUAUGAACAUUUUUAUUAAUACUUUCUGUACCACAUAAAUUAUUGAGCCAUUUCUUCAUAUUUAUCAACUUUGCAAAUUCAUAGGAAAUUCAUUUGAACUCCAAAUCUAGUGAAACCAAUUCCUAGAUGCUUCUAAAAUCAUCCUUUGUUAAAUGGGUGCCUUUG